rnacentral:rRNA from 1 species
GACGAACGCUGGCGGCGUGCCUAAUACAUGCAAGUAGAACGCACAGUUUAUACCGUAGCUUGCUACACCAUAGACUGUGAGUUGCGAACGGGUGAGUAACGCGUAGGUAACCUGCCUGGUAGCGGGGGAUAACUAUUGGAAACGAUAGCUAAUACCGCAUAAUAUUAAUUAUUGCAUGAUAAUUAAUUGAAAGGUGCAAUUGCACCACUACCAGAUGGACCUGCGUUGUAUUAGCUAGUAGGUGAGGUAACGGCUCACCUAGGCGACGAUACAUAGCCGACCUGGGAGGGUGGUCGGCCACACUGGGACUGGGGCACGGCCCAGACUCCUACGGGAGGCAGCAGUAGGGAAUCUUCGGCAAUGGACGAAAGUCUGACCGAGCAACGCCGCGUGAGUGAAGAAGGUUUUCGGAUCGUAAAGCUCUGUUGUAAGAGAAGAACGGGUGUGAGAGUGGAAAGUUCACACUGUGACGGUAUCUUACCAGAAAGGGGCGGCUAACUACGUG